AGGGAAAUAGCUCCAUGGUAGAGUGCAUGCUUAGCAUGCACAAGGUCCUGGGUUCAAUCCCCAGUACUCCCA
rnacentral:tRNA from 1 species